rnacentral:rRNA from 1 species
GAGUGGUAGGGGAGCGUUCCCAUGCCGGCGAAGCGGCGGCGUAAGCCAGCCGUGGAGGCAUGGGAAGUGAGAAUGCUGGCAUGAGUAACGAAAGAGGAGUGAGAAACUCCUCCGCCGAAUGCCUAAGGGUUCCUGAGUAAAGCUAAUCUGCUCAGGGUUAGUCGGGACCUAAGCCGAGGCCGAAAGGCGUAGGCGAUGGACAACAGGUUGAUAUUCCUGUACCACGUCCCCACCGCUAUCACCAAUGGCGGGACGGGGUAGGCUACGGAAUCCCAGGCGAUGGUCGUCCUGGGGUAACCGCGUAGGGCGGGUGAUAGGGAAAUCCGUCACCCAUCAAGCCUGAGACGGGAUGCCGAGCCUCGAGAGAGGCGAAGUUCCUGAAGCCAUGCCUCCUAGAAAAGCGUCUAGGGAGGUGGGACGUGCCCGUACCAAAACCGACACAGGUAGGCAGGUAGAGAAUACCAAGGCGAUCGGAAGAACCCUCGUUAAGGAACUCGGCAAAAUGGCCCCGUAACUUCGGGAGAAGGGGCGCCCCGGUAGGGUGAAAUUCCUUCGCGGAAUUAGCCCGAGGGGGCCGCAGUGAAACGGCCCAAGCGACUGUUUACCAAAAACACAGGUCUCUGCUAAGUCGCAAGACGACGUAUAGGGGCUGACGCCUGCCCGGUGCCGGAAGGUUACGUGGAGGUGUUAGGGCUUCGGCCCGAAGCACUGAAACUAAGCCCCGGUAAACGGCGGCGGUAACUAUAACCGUCCUAAGGUAGCGAAAUUCCUUGUCGGGUAAGUUCCGACCUGCACGAAUGGCGUAACGACUUGGGCGCUGUCUCAACGAGGGAUCCGGUGAAAUUGUAGUCUCGGUGAAGAUGCCGAGUACCCGUGGUUGGACGGAAAGACCCCGUGAACCUUUACUGCAGCUUUACGUUGAAGUCUGGUGUUCGUUGUCCAGGAUAGGUGGGAGCCUUCGAAGCCGGAGCGCCAGCUCUGGUGGAGGCAACCUUGGGAUACCACCCUUCGGAUUCUGGGCUUCUAACCCGGUGCCGUGAUCCGGGCCGGGAACAGCGUGAGGUGGGCAGUUUGACUGGGGCGGUCGCCUCCUAAAAUGUAACGGAGGCGCGCAAUGGUUCCCUCAGCACGGUUGGAAAUCGUGCGUAGAGCGCAAAGGCAUAAGGGAGCUUGACUGCGAGACUGACAAGUCGAGCAGGUGCGAAAGCAGGCCUUAGUGAUCCGACGGUUGAGAGUGGAAUUGCCGUCGCUCAACGGAUAAAAGGUACUCCGGGGAUAACAGGCUUAUCCUCCCCAAGAGUCCACAUCGACGGGAGGGUUUGGCACCUCGAUGUCGGCUCGUCGCAUCCUGGGGCUGAAGCAGGUCCCAAG